rnacentral:rRNA from 1 species
UACAGAGGUCUCAAGCGUUGUUCGGAUUCAUUGGGCGUAAAGGGUGUGUAGGUGGCGCCGUAAGUGGGGUGUGAAAUCUCGGGGCUUAACUCCGAAACUGCAUUCCAUACUGCGGUGCUUGAGGACUGGAGAGGAGACUGGAAUUCAUGGUGUAGCAGUGAAAUGCGUAGAGAUCAUGAGGAAGACCAGUGGCGAAGGCGGGUCUCUGGACCAGCACUGACACUGAGGCACGAAAGCGUGGGGAGCAAACAGG